rnacentral:misc_RNA from 1 species
AACGCACGAGACCUGCGGACCUGCGGAAGGAUCAUUACCGAGUUCAUGCCCUCACGGGUAGAUCUCCCACCCUUGUGUAUUCUAUGUUUGUGUUGCUUUGGCAGGCCGUGGGCCUCGCCCACCACCGGCUCUCGGGCUGGUGUGCGCCUGCCAGAGGACUCUUUAAACUCUGUUUGUUAGUGUCGUCUGAGUAUGAUAACAAUCGUUAAAACUUUUAACAAUGGAUCUCUAGAUCGGAAG